GAAUCCAAGUGUCAGAUGAGGUCAUGUCUCGCCUCACGACACUAAUUUUUUUUUUCCUUCUCAGGCUCUUCAUUCAUUAAAGUACUUUGUAUUUUAACUUUCCCUGAGCUCUUUAAUUUGACAGUAUGCCCCUCUGUCCCUGAGACCCUUAACCUGUGAGGUCAAAGCAGGUCACAGGUGAGGUCCUCGGGAACAGGGCUGCAUUCAGUUUCAACGUCCCGUAAAGCAGGAACCUGUUGACUGUUUGAGUGCACUAUCAACCUUUUUCUCUUAAGUAAUUACAUGUCUUAUGUUCAGAUGAUUGUAAUUUAUCAAGGAGAAGAAACAGAAAAUUGCAGCAUAAAUUAUCUCAGGGGGCUGAUCCUAUUGGCUGGCUUUGUGGCAUAACCCUCAGUGGGGACCAAUAGGAAGACAGCCAAGGGUUGUGACCCCGUUGAACUUCUCACCUUCA